AGCACAUUGAAGAGCUGCAGUGGGUGUGGAGAACAUACUUGAACAAGCAGAAAUGAAUAACUUGCUGCACUGAUCCAGGAAUCAAGGGGGUGAAUCACUAUCACUCCUAAUGAUACAGUUGAUCCAAAUUGGGUUCAAAAUGCCAAGUGGACAAAAGACCAUCAAUAUAUGCCAAGCUGAGUGGGAGUGUGCAGCUCACUUAGCUGCCUUGACAUCGAUUUCCACCUGCUAUUGUUGAUGAAGCUGCAUUCGGGAGGAACUCUGGGAUCAAGCGUCUUCCAGUAAACAUCAGAUGAAGAAAGAGGUGUGGGGACACCACGAAGUCAUUGCCCUACUUUGUGACCUUCUGAGGGAGGAACAAAUCAUAUGUGUUCACAGGACACAUUAUCACUCAGGAAAACACCCACAGCUUUUCGCCAAGAUGGCUCAAAAGCUAAAGUCAAAGCCAAGGCCUUCAAAGCUAAGAAGGCAGUGCUGAAAGCCAUCCACAGCCACAAAAAGAAGAAGAUGCAAACGUCACCCACUUUCCGGUGGCCCAAGACCCUGCGGCACUGAAGGCAACCAAAAUAUCCUUGAAAGAAUGCACCCAGGAGACCACCAUGCUAUCAUCACAUUCCCACUGACCACCGAGUCAGCCAUGAAGAAAAUAGAGGACAACAACACGCUUGUGUUCAUUGUAGAUGUCAAGGCCAACAAGCAUCAAACAGGUCAUGAAGAAACUCUAUGACCUUGAUGUGGCCAAAGUCAAUACCCUGAUAAGGCCUGAUGGAGAGAAGAAGACAUGUUCACUUGGCCCUUGAUUAUGAUGCUCUAGAUGUUGUCAACAAGAUUGGGAUCAUCGAAAGUGAGUCCAGAUGGCUAAUUCUAAAUAUACACUUUUUUUUCACCAUAAUAAAUAAAACACCCACAGCUGGAUGGUUCACAAAGAAAAGAGUUCUGUCUAGCUCAAAGUAGUAGUGACUAAGUUUUCAAAGGCAUGGUCGUACUUUUAGUGAGGGUUUCCUUGGUUGCUUUUCAUGUCAGGUUAUAUCAUGGUAACUGUUCAUAUGAAAACAAGAUCACAUGGUGACAAGGAGAGCCAGGGAGUGUGAUUAGCUAGGCUAGCAACUCUAUAACAAAUUAUUUCCCUUAACUUUCAAAGGCAGUGUCCUCCUCCAUGACUACAGGGGUUCUUUCAAUAUUUAGGACCAUGCUACUAACACAUGACCCGUAGAAGACAAACAAAGAAGACAAAGAGAAGUGUAGCAGAAUGCCAUGUGAGCUGUUUGUGCUGUGAUAUUUAAAAUGACAAGAAAUGCACCUGUACAAGCUCAGUCGGAAUGUUCGUUGUUUCAUCUUUUAAAGACUUACUUAUUUUAUUUUCUGUGCACGAGUGUUUGGCCUGUAUGUAUGUAUGUCUAUGCCUGGUAACUGCAGAAGUCAGAGGAAGGCCUCAGAUCCCUCAGAACUUGAGUUAUACUUGUUUUUGUGCUACUAUGUAGGUAGGUAUUAGAUAUGGAACUUGGUUACUUUGUAAGAGCAGCAAGUGAUCUAAACCAUGGACCUAUUUGUCCAGCCCAUUUCAUAUAUUUUCAAGAUAAGUUCAGCUUAACACAUACACGUGGAAUCUAGAAACAUGAGGGCUGAGUACUUCUAACUCAUUGUACAAUGAGAGCAUCGUGUUAAUAUUCAACCAGAUAAAUAUAUUACAAGACAUUACUACA
rnacentral:sRNA from 1 species